rnacentral:rRNA from 1 species
AACCACGGGCUCAGUGAAAUUGAAAUCUCGGUGAAGAUGCCGAGUACCCGCGGCAAGACGGAAAGACCCCGUGAACCUUUACUAUAACUUGACAGUGGUAUUCGGGUGGAUCUGUGUAGGAUAGGUGGGAGGCUUCGAAGCCGGUGCGCCAGCAUCGGUGGAGCCGUCGUUGAAAUACCACCCUGGUCCUCCUGGAUGCCUAACGUGGUCGGCUGAAGCGUCGGCACGGACACUGUCUGGUGGGUAGUUUGACUGGGGCGGUCGCCUCCUAAAAAGUAACGGAGGCGCACAAAGGUUCCCUCAGGCUGAUUGGAAACCAGCCGAAGAGUGCAAAGGCAGAAGGGAGCUUGACUGCGAGACCUACAAGUCGAGCAGGUGCGAAAGCAGGUCUUAGUGAUCCGGUGGUUCUGAGUGGAAGGGCCAUCGCUUAACGGAUAAAAGGUACUCCGGGGAUAACAGGCUUAUCUCCCCCAAGAGUUCACAUCGACGGGGAGGUUUGGCACCUCGAUGUCGGCUCAUCGCAUCCUGGGGCUGGAGCAGGUCCCAAGGGUUUGGCUGUUCGCCAAUUAAAGCGGUACGCGAGCUGGGUUCAGAACGUCGUGAGACAGUUCGGUCCCUAUCUGCCGUGGGCGGAGGAGUUUUGAGAGGAUCUGUCCCUAGUACGAGAGGACCGGGAUGGACUGACCUCUGGUGCACCAGUUGUCACGCCAGUGGCAUGGCUGGGUAGCUACGUCGGGACGGGAUAACCGCUGAAAGCAUCUAAGCGGGAAGCCCACCUCAAGAUGAGAACUCCCAAGGGUUUAUCCCUUCUGAAGGCCCGUUGUAGACCACAACGUGGAUAGGCUGGGUGUGUAAGCGUCGGAAAAGGCGUUGAGCUAACCAGUACUAAUAGGCCGUGAGGCUUGACCUC